CCUGGUUGAUCCUGCCAGUAGUCAUAUGCUUGUCUCAAAGAUUAAGCCAUGCAUGUCUAAGUACAUGCCGUAUUAAGGCGAAACCGCGAAUGGCUCAUUAAAUCAGUUAUGGUUCCUUGGAUCGUACCUUACUACUUGGAUAACUGUGGCAAUUCUAGAGCUAAUACAUGCAGCAGAGCUCCGACCUUCGGGGACGAGCGCUUUUAUUAGACCAAAACCAAUCGGACCUCGGUCCGUUCUAUGUGGUGACUCUGAAUAACUUUGGGCUGAUCGCACGGACUUGUUCCGGCGACGUAUCUUUCAAGUGUCUGCCUUAUCAACUGUCGAUGGUAUGUUACGCGCCUACCAUGGUCGUAACGGGUAACGGGGAAUCAGGGUUCGAUUCCGGAGAGGGAGCCUGAGAAACGGCUACCACAUCCAAGGAAGGCAGCAGGCGCGCAAAUUACCCACUCCCGUAAUUGGAAUGAGUACACUCUAAAUCCUUUAACGAGGAUCCAUUGGAAGGCAAGCCAGGUGCCAGCAGCUGCGGUAAUACCUGCUCCAAUAGCGUAUAUUAAAGUUGUUGCGGUUAAAAAGCUCGUAGUUGGAUCUCAGUUGCAGAGGGACGGUCCUCCUACCGGUGGUCACUGUCUUUUCUGAACGUCUCAGCCGGUUUCUCUUGAUGAUCUUCACCGGUUGUCUUGGGUGACCGGCAAGUUUACUUUGAAAAAAUUAGAGUGCUCAAAGCAUGCUUCACGCAUGAAUAAUGGUGCAUGGAAUAAUGGAAUAGGACCUCGGUUCUAUUUUGUUGGUUUACGGAAAACGAGGUAAUGAUUAAGAGGGACAGCCGGGGGCAUUCGUACUGCGACGCUAGAGGUGAAAUUCUUGGACCGUCGCAAGACGAACUACUGCGAAAGCAUUUGCCAAGAAUGUUUCCAUUAAUCAAGAACGAAAGUUAGAGGUUCGAAGGCGAUCAGAUACCGCCCUAGUUCUAACCAUAAACGAUGCCAGCCAGCGAUCCGGCUGUGUUCCUCAAAUGACACGCCGGGCAGCUUCCGGGAAACCAAAGCUUUUGGGUUCCGGGGGGAGUAUGGUUGCAAAGCUGAAACUUAAAGGAAUUGACGGAAGGGCACACAAGAAAUGGAGCCUGCGGCUUAAUUUGACUCAACACGGGGUAGCCUACCUGGCCCGGACACAGGAAGGAUUGACAGAUUAAGAGCUCUUUCUUGAUUCUGUGGGUUGUGGUGCAUGAUCGUUCUUAGUUGGUGGAGCGAUUUGUCUGGUUUAUUCCGAUAACGAACGAGACUCUAGCCUACUAAAUAGACGCUUCCGAUCCUUGUAGUCGGACGUUCUUCUUAGAGGGACAAGCGGUGUCUAGCCGCACGAGACAGAGCAAUAACAGGUCUGUAUGCCCAUAGAUGUUCGGGGCCGCACGCGCGCUACAAUGAAGGAAUCAGCGUGUGCUUUCCCUGUCCGACAGGACUGGGUAACCCGUUGAAACUCCUUCGUGCUGGGGAUAGGGAUUUGAAAUUGUCUCCCUUGAACCAGGAAUUCCCCGUAAGUGCUUGUCAUAAGCAAGCGUUGAUUACGUCCCUGCCCUUUGUGCACACCGCCCGUCGCUAUUACCGAUUGAAUUAUUUAGUGAGGUCUUCGGACUGGCGCUCGGAUUGGCCUUCUGGUCGAGCCGAGUGCCGGAAAGAUGACCAAACUUGAUUAUUUAGAGGAAAUAAAAGUCGUAACAAGGUCUUCGUAGGUGAACCUGCGGAGG
rnacentral:rRNA from 1 species